rnacentral:rRNA from 1 species
GAUGAACGCUGGCGGCGUGCCUAAUACAUGCAAGUCGAGCGAACAGACGAGGAGCUUGCUCCUCUGACGUUAGCGGCGGACGGGUGAGUAACACGUGGAUAACCUACCUAUAAGACUGGGAUAACUUCGGGAAACCGGAGCUAAUACCGGAUAAUAUAUUGAACCGCAUGGUUCAAUAGUGAAAGACGGUUUUGCUGUCACUUAUAGAUGGAUCCGCGCCGCAUUAGCUAGUUGGUAAGGUAACGGCUUACCAAGGCAACGAUGCGUAGCCGACCUGAGAGGGUGAUCGGCCACACUGGAACUGAGACCCGGUCCAGACUCCUACGGGAGGCAGCAGUGGGGAAUCUUCCGCAAUGGGCGAAAGCUUGACGGAGCAACGCCGCGUGAGUGAUGAGGGUCUUCGGAUCGUAAAACUCUGUUAUUAGGAAAGAACAAAUGUGUAAGUAACUAUGCACGUCUUGACGGUACCUAAUCAGAAAGCAACGGCUAACUACGU